AGCGCCAUCGGUGGACGCAGACCUCGCCAACCCCGUCAGGUCCGAAAGGAAGCAGCGGUAACGGGGAAAACGGGUCACCGGUGGCUUUUUU
rnacentral:SRP_RNA from 1 species